AAUUCUCAACCUCACCUGUUUUGUAACGAGACAGGUGAAGGCUUGGAUGUGGGGGUUUUGCAGGCUGCCUCAGUGCUGGUCUGCUCCCCUGAAAUGCAUUAGCGAGCUCAUAUUGAGCUUCCGUCUAUUGGUGUGAUAAUUAUCUACGCCGUGGAUUGGACUCAUGCUUGCUUCUAACCGUCCGCAAGGACAAUUUACUUUGACCA
rnacentral:misc_RNA from 1 species